rnacentral:lncRNA from 10 species
CUGAGCCAGAUAUGUUUACCCUAAGAGGACUCACGCUUAUCAUCCAGCACAAUGGUGUCCUCUUACUAGAAUUAGCAUCUGCUGGAUCACUGACUGCAUUUCCACAGAACACAGAACAAAGCGGUUAAGAUCCAGGGCAUUGAGCCACGCCUUAAAUCGAAGCAUUGUCCACCUUCUAACCCCAAGCAGACACCAAGAGGGAGCCAACAACAGGGAUCCUGAGAGGCAAAGGGAGUCCAAGGAGCUAUGGGGAGAACUUUCCAUCUUUGGGGAUGAGAAUGUGAAGCAUCAAUUUAUGUGAAAACUACUGCUUGAUUAAAGACAAGAUUUUUGAAAGCCAUCCUGUAAAACACCCUGUCCCACACAUUGUUAAAGGUGAGAUCACGUGAUGAUGGAGAAGGUCACCAGAGCCAGGCACCUUGUCCACACACAGGGCUUCCUUCCUCCAUGACUUAACCCAGAGAUGUAGACGGCGGGGUCAACAUUAAAUACCACAAACAGGCAAAAGAGCUUCAGACAGAAGGAUCAUCUUCCUGAAGACAAAAUAAUCAUCAUCCUUUGAGGGCAAAGUGGGCAACGUUAUGGGAACUUGUUUGGAAUUGAGCCUUGAUUCUGAAAAGAAAGUAUCAGAGGGCAGCAUUUGAACUGGCAUUUAAGGUGUCAACCAGGGGGAAUUUGGUGCCGACCAGUAAAAGGGGAGAAUCAAAAACAGAAGCUCCAUCACCAGGGACAGGGCCAGACUCCUGACUAGAAACUCAGUGGAUGUGCUGAAUCAUUCGGAUACUUUCCAGAAAAUUAUUUUACCUACUCAGAAGGCUGGGCAUCAGCCAAAACUGUCUGGAAAACCACAAGGAAAGACAUUUCCAUGAAGUAACUAGAGUUUUGGGCUUCUACUCUAGAGGAAUAUAAGAGGAACUUUCUUUAAAGAGUAUGCAGGUGGUUCCUUUUAAGCUCACCUGUCUGGUUUUUCAAACAGAUCAAGGGGUGAUGGCAGGGAAACGUCUCCCCUGGAAAUCUCACCCCUCCAUUUGCUAAAGAGAAGGAGCUUCAAUCCCUUGACAGGAUGAUGAAACAAUAAUAAACUGAUGUGACCAAGUCUCAUGCCAGCAGUCCUACCUGUGGCCCACCCUUCUCGUGGCCAACAAUGGCUUUUCUUAAAUAAAUAAAAAUCAAGAUUUGUACCACUCCUGCUGUAAGCUCUUCAGUGGCUCAUGGAUGAAUGAACAGGAUCACCAUUGGCACACAAGUCCCCCCACAGAUCACCUACUCAUCUUUCCACCCCAGCUUUUGCCAUUCUCUCCCCAUCCCACAAAUCCAUUGCCAUCCAAAGAUAAGAAAGAUACCAGAUAGGGCUUCCCAGUUGCAGCAGAGUGGACUGUCUUUACACUGGAGGGCUAUUCUUCCACAAAGAAGUCUUCUCCCCCGUGGGAAGGGAUUGGAGUACUUCUCCUAGGCACUAUGUGAGCAGAUGGUUGAGAAAUGAGCUAGCCCUUGAGCUUCUGCAGCAAGGGAGGGUCCCAUCAUGAGAGCAGAUGGUAUGGGAAAUGCACCAGUUUGGAAUUGGGAGGAACAAGUUUCAGGCCUGACUCAGAUACAGAUACUUGCCAUCAUCAGUAUGCCCUUGAAUGAACUAUAAAGUGUCUCUGAACCUCUGUUGUCUCCUUUGCAGUGUUGAGCCAAGGUUAUAUACCACACAGGGAUUGAGGAAGAGGAAUUAAGGCAGCGUACAUGGAAGUGGCUGGCUCAGUCAUCACUGGCUAAACGCUACUUGAAUUCCAUUCUAAAACUCCACAUAGAAAGGCAAUUUGACAAAAUUUGAUCAUCCCUUCACCCCAAUUAUCACCCCGUGAACUUUUCUUCCAUUUAUCACCCUUGGAUUUCGUAGCUCGGCACACACAGUCUUUCUCCCUCUCUCACUUCUUUCUUUCUCUCCUUUUUUCUUCUUCUGUUAAACCUAAGAAAUUCUAAUGCUGAAGAGGGUUUUCUUAAGGUGAUUCUCCUGGAAAAGAUGACUCUUUAAGCAAAAAUUCAGACUUUCUCUAGAGUGACCGAGACAUGUAGGUGGCGGUAGCAAUACAGGCUGACCUUCCAGCAUGGUCCUGGGAACCACAGGUCAGCUCUGCUGCAGAUGCCCAGACAGCGUGUCUCUUCCUGAAACAAAUCGACUUCCACAUGGCUCUUCUGAAGACUAAGAUGGCCACGUCUAUCUAAUGAACCCAUCCUGCCACCUCCAUUUGGGUCCUGGAAAUGGACCGAGCUCUUUUGUGGUUCCCUGUACAUUUCAGCGUGCAUCUUUAGCUAUGAGAGGUCAUUUGCUGCCAGUUCUGUUGGCUUUAAUGAGUCUCCUGCCUUGGACCUGGAGAGAGAAGUGGGAAAAUGUGAUUCUCAUGCCCAGGCCUGGCCUCCCUGAACUCACUUUUCCCAUUAAGCUUUGACACUGGACCAUGCCUUUGUUGGCAGAGGAGGUUUUUAUGGAUCUUAUGGGGGAUGCACAAUGGAAACUGGAAUUAAACUUGUGUUUCUCUUUUUUCUCUCUCUUUUCCUUGAUUGGGUUUUGACAGAAAUUAUUUGACUGUUUCCUUUUCACAUGGACAGAAUCGAGUAUGUUCUUUCAACGUUAUCCAAACCAUCAUGCUCAAAUGGAAAGGAAAGUUCUGUGAGGUUAAAUGGCAGAGACAUGAUGUCUACAGUAGGAACAAAGCUGCUUAGAUCCUUCCAGACGCUGUAAAUUCCCCUAACAUAAAAGACAAGAGUACAGACUCUGAGGUCAGAGGGACUCACGCCCAAAUCCCUUCCCCACCUCUCACAAGUUACUUAUUCUCUUUGAGUCCUGAUUUUCUCACUGGUCAAAUGGGAAUAAAAAUCCCCUCCUGGGCCGGGCAUGGUGGCUCACGCCUGUAAUCUCAGCACUUUGGGAGGCCGAGGCGGGUGGAUCAGGAGUUUGAGACCAGCCUGAUCAAAAUGGUGAAACCUCGUCUCUACUGAAAAUACAAAAAACUUAGCCAGGUAUGGUGGUGCACACCUGUUAUCCCAGCUACUCAGGAGACUGAGGCAAAAGAACCACUUGAACCCGGGAGGCAGAGGUUGCAG